CGGCACCGGCACCGGCACCGGGCGGGAUGGCCCGGGGCGCGCUCCGCCUGCUCUGCUGCGCCGCUGCCCUGCUCGCUGCCGCAGGGCCAGCACCUGCCAGCGCAGUGUCUCAGAACAGCUCAGGGACAGCCGUGUCACCGUCUCCAUCCCGUUCAGCCAGAGCCAGCAGCCAGGGGACUCAGGGUGUGAGUCUCUCUGGCCGUGACCUGGGAGCACUCAGUGCAUCUCUAUCGACAGCAGCAAUUCCAUCCAAUUCCUCCAGUACCGCCCCGGGACCAACAACACCUCCAUCACCUUCACCCAGCACUACCACAGCAACAACUUCAUCCAGUACCUCGGGAUCAACACCUCCAUCACCUUCAUCCAACACCACCACCACAACUCCAUCCAGUACCUCGGGAUCAACACCUCCAUCACCUUCACCCAGCACCACCACCACAACUCCAUCCAGUACCUCGGGAUCAACACGUCCAUCUUCUCCAUCCAGCACCACCACAGCUCCAUCUUCAGCCGGGACACCGGGAUCGACACCUUUGACACCCUCAUCCAAUGCCACCACGGCACCAACUCCAUCCCACACGAGUGUGUCCAGAUCCACAGAGCAUCCAUCCAACUCCACCACACCGCCAGCCCCAUCCUCACCCAGGCCCUCUGUUCCUGCUUCUCCCAGCUCCCCCACGCCCACCGUGAGCCCCAACAGCACCAGCACUGUCACCACCAGCUCCAGAGCGACAGCAGCCCCUGGCAGCACAGCUGGGAGCUCCGAGCAGCACCCCGCAGAGCUGAGCCCCGCUGUGGUCGCCCUCAUCUCCCUCGCCGUCUGCCUGCUGGUGGCGGGGGUGGCCGUGCUGCUGGUGCGGCUGUCCCGGCGCGGGACCCCCCGCUUCCAA
rnacentral:lncRNA from 1 species